GGUGGGGGGAUGACUAGUGAGGGAGGGGGUGACUAGUGACAGAGGGAGGGAGAUGGUGACUAGUGACAGAGGGAGGGAGAUGGUGACUGUCACUAGUCACGCCAUCCCUCCCUCUGUCACUAGUUACUCCCUCCCUCACUCUGUCACCAGUCACCCCCUCCCUCUGUCACUGUGUCACCCCAUCCCUCCCUCUGUCACUAGUCACUCCCUCCCUCACUCUGUCACUAGUCCCCCUCUCCCU